GUCUGGGUGGGGCCUGAGAUCCUGAAUUUCUAAUGAGCUCCCAGGUGACACCCUGACUCA
rnacentral:pre_miRNA from 1 species